AAUUUCAUUUUAACAAAACUGAAAUCAAAAUUUUCUCUUGUUCCAUUUAAGCCAUUCGAAAUCCCUUGCCUUCUAUUCCUCUGAAUUUCACAGUCUUCUUCCUCAGAAUAACUCUGAGAAUUCGAGUAUAGAACAAUGGCUUUUCGUGCUUUCUUUCCUUGCCAUUUUGACAUGAAACUUUCGAAAACUAUCAACAAUGGUGCCUUGUUCUAAUUGCUUUCGCCUUCGCCUGAUUCUUUCAAGAACACAAGCACUGCUAUUUCUGGAACCUGGCUAUUAAUCCUUCGAAGGAGGCGACGUCAUCGAGGAACCUUUCUAGUUGAUAGCUGCGAAUCGAUCACGACUCUUUGAAGCGUAGUCUUUGUUUGAUUACAGAUCGGAACCGGUCGGGAACGAUGGGUUAGCGGUGCUUGAAUAGCGUUCCAAGGAUGUAUAUUGAGCUGAGCACUUAGGAAUUUGUAGUUUUGUAUUAGGUUUUUGGAUAAAUGUAUAUUUGUUUUGGCUGUGCUGGUUAUAUCGGACUUGUAGAGACUUGUAUUAUUAUCUUGUGUAUUAGUUAGAUGUUGGUUUUGGGAUUUAGCUGAGUUAGUCACGUUGAAGA